UACGUAGGGCGCAAGCGUUGUCCGGAAUUAUUGGGCGUAAAGAGCUCGUAGGCGGUGUGUCGCGUCGGCCGUGAAAACCUGCAGCUUAACUGUGGGCUUGCGGUCGAUACGGGCAUCACUGGAGUUCGGCAGGGGAGACUGGAAUUCCUGGUGUAGCGGUGAAAUGCGCAGAUAUCGGGAGGAACACCGGUGGCGAAGGCGGUUCUCUGGGCCUGACCUGACGCUGAGGAGCGAAAGCGUGGGGAGCGAACAGG
rnacentral:rRNA from 1 species